rnacentral:rRNA from 1 species
GAUUAACGCUGGCGGCGUGCAUAACACAUGCAAGUCGAACGAUGAAACUCAUUAGAUUUCUUCGGAAUGAAAAUGAAUGGAUUAGUGGCGAACGGGUGAGUAACGCGUGAGUAACCUGCCUUACACAAGGGGAUAGCCUCUGGAAACGGAGAAUAAUACCCUAUGAAACCAGACAAUCGCAUGAUAAUCUGGUCAAAAUGUUUAGUGGUGUAAGAUGGACUUGCGUCUGAUUAGCUAGUUGGUGAGAUAAAAGCUCACCAAGGCAACGAUCAGUAGCCGGCUUGAGAGAGUGUACGGCCACAUUGGGACUGAGACACGGCCCAGACUCCUACGGGAGGCAGCAGUGGGGAAUUUUGCACAAUGGGGGAAACCCUGAUGCAGCGACGCCGCGUGAUUUAGAAGGCCUUCGGGUUGUAAAAAUCUUUUGUAUAGGAAGAAAAUGACAGUACUAUAAGAAUAAGGUCCGGCUAAUUACGUG